rnacentral:rRNA from 1 species
GACGAACGCUGGCGGCGUGCUUAACACAUGCAAGUCGAACGGUGAAGCGCCUUCCUUUUUGGUGGGUGUGGAUGAGUGGCGAACGGGUGAGUAACACGUGAGUAACCUGCCCCCUUCUUCUGGAUAACCGCAUGAAAGUGUGGCUAAUACGGGAUAUUCUUGGUCUGUCGCAUGAUGGGUCUGGGACAGAUAUUGUUUCGGUGGGGGAUGGGCUCGCGGCCUAUCAGCUUGUUGGUGGGGUGAUGGCCUACCAAGGCGGUGACGGGUAGCCGGCCUGAGAGGGUGGACGGUCACACUGGGACUGAGACACGGCCCAGACUCCUACGGGAGGCAGCAGUGGGGAAUAUUGCACAAUGGGCGCAAGCCUGAUGCAGCGACGCCGCGUGAGGGAUGGAGGCCUUCGGGUUGUGAACCUCUUUCGCCAGUGAAGCAGGCCUGCCUCGUUUGUGGGUGGGUUGACGGUAGCUGGAGAAGAAGCGCCGGCUAACUACGUG